GGAUUCUCAAGAUUAAGAGGAAAUUGAGAGCUCAAAUCAAUGCUAGAACCCGAAUUGUCAACCAUCUAAGCUCGAGCAACAAUAGGCGUGAAGGAAGAAAGCUCUAACACUAGUCAAGCGGGAGGUGUACAAGAUCGAGGUAAAGCACCUCUAUAGGCGAUAUGGAGAUAUGGAACGAGCACAUGUUCAAGCCUUAUAAUACCAAGCGCUUCCGCAACUUAUAUGCAUGUUUUUGGGUUUGA
rnacentral:lncRNA from 1 species